AUUUGAUGAUAUCAGCAAUAUCGU
rnacentral:snRNA from 1 species